UAUCUAUCUAUCUAUCUAUCUAUCUAUCUAUCUAUCUAUCUAUCUAUCUAUCUAUCUAUCUAUCUAUCUAUCUAUCUAUCUAUCUAUCUAUCUAUCUAUCUAUCUAUCUAUCUAUCUACCUACCCACUCCUGAGCAAGCAUUUCAUCUUGGUAUCCAAAGAAAAGGGCCAUUAGGCUGCAAAGAAUUUUUAGUUAACUUAGAAAAAAAGAGAGAGCCACGGAUGGCCUCAUCAGGGUCAAUAUGCCUGGGCACAGGACAGAAGAACCGAGUUGAAAGGUUCUAGCUAAUCAAUCAGUUAUAAAGAACAAUCAUGGGUGAAAGCACCGGCCUAGAACACGAGAAUUGUCUUAUCCAUAUUUGAUAGAUUUAAAAUAGAGUUAAAUAAAUUCUAAGGGGAAAAUAGAAUUGCCUGUAAGAGUCGUCACCCUUGUUACCCAAUGGGAUCUGUGAAAAUGUCUGCAGGAUGAUGACGAUGAUGAUAGUCUUAGUUGCUGUGGUGCUGUGAGCUUGUGUGGUGUGUAAUUCAGACUUGCUGUAAAUUUAGGUUUUAGUAUUCUGAGUCUCACAAUUGAUGUUUUUAUUUCUGUCUUGGCAACAAUCAGAAAUGCACUUAACUCCGGCGUGCAAGCAAAACAGUGCAGUGUUCCUGCCCGCAGCUAUCCAUUUGAGGUCAGGAGAGUGGUAAAUUGGGCAGAAAACUGGAAGUUAGCUUUGAAGUAAGAGAGAACCGAACUGAGUAUCGCUGCAGAAGGAUGAAAAAGCGGCUUAGUUAAUAUUUUAAGGAAUGUUCAUUUAAUUUGAACCCACAAUUGGACAUUUUGGUAGAUGUUUGAAUUGUGCUGGCAGACCCUCCUUCCGAAGUAAGAAAAGACCCAGCCUUGAUACCACACUGCUAACGUUGGUUGAUUUUAGUGGUAAUUCAUUUUUAACGUUGACUUUCUACAUCUUAGCAUGUUGCACAAAUUUAUUUAUUUAUUAGAGAAUUUACAUGGCCUCCUGCUCACUUUCAGUGACUCUAGGGGGCGUAUAAAAAAAAACCCAACGCAGACUGAGUAGGGCUACCAGCUCUGAUGGUCAAAAAUACAGCAAAUCACUAAAUAAUAGCAAAAAGUCUCUUUUGCAAAUUACCUGGGUUUUUGCAACCCUGGUUUAUGGUUCCAUGCACUGUAAAAAUUCAGAAAAUUGGCUACUUCGGUAAACUGUGUUCUAAACCCCCCCCCCAUUUUGCUUAAUGGUUAUGUUCACACUUAUCUUUUUUUGUGCCACAAUUGCUGGCUGCCAGCCAGAAAGGGACCUGGAUGCCUGCCAGAGUCCAGCGAUAGGCAAAAUGUUUUGAGUCUUUUAACUAAUAUCUUAAGGCAACAGGUGUGGUGCACAGCUUUAGCAAAGGUCGACGGCAGGAAUUCAAUAAGCAAGUGACAAAUCCAGAGAGAAAAGACAGAAGACACACAGUAAGGUGGAAUCCACAGCAAGAGUUAUCUCAACAAGUUGGAUUUUCAGCCUCUGCACUCAGAGAGCAAGGCCGAUAUAUCUGCCCUGCAGAAUAGGUGCUCCAACACUGGAGAUUUUGGGACGUUUAUCUGACAUGGUAUAGGGUUUCCUGCUUGAGCAGAGGGCUGGACUAGAAGACCUGCCAGGUCCCUUCCAACUCUUGUCAUUCUGUUAUUCUCCACCCCAUGCAGAGCUGUGGCAUGGACUCUUCCGUUUUCUUCUUUCUUGGCAUGUUUCUCAGAUCUAAGGGGUUUUAUCACGUGUCUCUGCUUAGGAGUGGCUGGUUGGACUUGAGGGUCGUGAGAAGGGGGUCAGUGAGGGCAGGCAAGGGGUCCUGUGGGCUUGCUGGAUCUGCUUUGUGGGUCUGAGGGGGGGGGGGCGUCACCAAUAGUGGAAUUGCCCACACCAGGUCUAUGGUCUCUAGAUGUCCCGCCUUCAUUUCAUCCCCAUCUUUAUUAAGGGCCCAGUAGCUCAGAACAUUAACCAGACAGCUACAAAUCUAGCAGCUGUGUUUGCACAAUGUUUGGAGCCUGCUUGCGUGUUUGUGCGACGCCCAUUGAGCGUGUUGCGCAAACUCAUCUCCUUUCGUGAGCAAGGGCGUUUAGCGUACUUUGCAAUCCCAGAAAAUGAAUUCAGUACGAUAAAAGUUUUUACUCCACCUAAACUCCUGCUAGAUUUUUUUAGUGUUUCUCAUCCUUGACAAUUUUAAGGCACGUGGACUUCAACUCCCAGAAUUCCACAGCCAGCAUUGCUGAAGUUGAAGUCCACAUGCCUUAAAAUUGUCAAGGUUGAGAAACACUGCUAGAAAGACAGGGGAGCUAAUCCAGUUCCUAGGACAUCAGGGCAAGGUGCCAUUUUAAUGACAACAGCCAGCUCUCUGGGAGCUUUCUCGACUUCCUAAGUCCGCACGAUAUCUGGAGGCAUUGAUGUGCAAAAUUAUGGGAAGAUGUACAGCCCGGUUUAUUGUAUGGCUCUUCCAAGGAAUGUCUUGUAGAUGGUUCUGAGUGUAGGAUUACAGGCUAAAGGGGUUGAUUUGUACGUCCCCAUUUUUGCUAUUCAAUAGCUGUUCACGGAAGGAAUUGGCCCAACUGAAAAAAUACACUGCGAUGUCAUGGAUGUGUUUGUGCUGCUAGAGCUAAUGUGGUGCACACCGAAGGCACAAUAUUGUGUUUCAGUCGAAUCGGAAACGAAGAUGGGUGGAACAGCCUUUAGCAUCCUUCUCCUACUUAAUCACUUUGAAAGACGCUGGAUUGAACCAGUAUGUCUCAAUCUUGGCAACUUUAAAGACGAGUGGACUUCAACUCCCAGAAUUCCGGAGUUGAAGUCUGUAGGUCUUCAAGUCGCCAAAGCUGAGAAAUCACUCUCAAUGUCUCUGCCCACUGGGCUUCCUUGUGAAAAAUAUCUGAUGGCUGUGAGGUUGCAGAAGGCUCUCUUUGACCAAUGAAUUCUGCCAUAUGGUGUUUAGGUUGAGAACCCCUGGUAUAGGGAAUGAUACUUAUUCAUUCCUCUUAAUUUCCGCGAACUUCUAAAAUAGAAAGGGUAUGCCAGGGAAAAUUAGCUGAAAACACACUGAAGUUGUCGAGUAAAUUGGAUGGACUUUUUAUCGGAUGGACUUUUUCAUCAGUCACUGGAAUCCCUCGUAUAAAUAGAAUUAUGUCAGGAGAAUAGCUGAGGACAAUAGAAAGGUCCAGAAUUAAAGUCUAGGAUCAAUGUGAGUGUGUGUUGAAGAAAAUAAGCUUUUCUAUGAUUGGGUAUAAUGGGUGCAAAUAAGCACGGAUUAAGCAUUGGAAAAGACGCAAAGGAAAAAUCUACUUGAAAUAAUGAUUUAAAAAAAAAAAAAAUCCGAAUACACAAACACAGUUAAAUUUACACCAGUGCAAUUCCAUCCAAAGUCUAUUACUAUAUUUGCUGCAUUAUACACUAAUGUAGUGUAUAAAGUUCACACUAAUGACCGUUUUAUAUUAAUAACCAAUUCAUCUUCCCAAGAUUUGUCUGGAACACAGUAGCAGACCCUUUACUUUGGAAGAUGAUGUACAAAAUCAUUACAACCAAUAGCUAAAAAAAACCCAAAUAUUUGCUAAAAUUACUUUAUGUGCAAGAGAGAAAGUUAAGAAGGCCUAGAGGAACUAAAAACUUGGGGAGCUGUUCUGCCUCUGUAUCUUAAUUAUGGAAAACUGUCCUUUGUUUGGAAGUUAGAACUUGGAACAUAAGUUGUAACAUUUUGGCGUUAUUAAGCCCAAAAGAAGACAACAAUACUCUUGUGCUAAUGGACUACAUCUCGCACCUGAUUUUAAGAAAUCAACGAAUCUGCCUGAAACCAGCUUGUCAAAUCUUAAGUCCUCUGAUUCAAAUGUAUGUCGGUGCCUAUAGUGACUUGGUUUUCCUUUGGGAUGGUGUUCUAUUGCUGCAUUGUGAAACAAACCCUAGUGUUAAGAAUAAAUGUGAUGUCCUCUUUUGGUGCCCAGUAGCUAUUCUCUGAGCAGCGCGUGAUGGUGGUUCUUGCUGCUGCUCGGCUAAUAUCUUCCAUGAACUGUAGAUAUUGCCUUGGUUGCCUGAUGCUACUGGUGCCAUUGCCUCCGAAGACUACGUAGCAAGGCGUGGUUACGUACCUGCGCGUAUUAAGAGUCGCCAACUGUGACAUCAUCAUCCAAGCGCAUGUAGCAAAAGCCACACGCACGUACACAAAACCCCUGGGUGGCUGAGGCAAGGAAGGCGGUGCUUAUGGUGCUACUGAUGAUAUUCCACAGCAGGGUUUGUAUUGAGAACCAGUUCUAGCCUACGUGGACUGAUUUAAUGGCCCCAAUUGGGCUUCUACAAACUGUAACUGACAAAAAGAGAGCAAUGAUGGUUGAAUGCCAGAGAGAAGAACGAUAUCUGGAAAAAGAAAGAAAAGGAUGCUGGAAUGUAUAUUCCAUCAGGCAGAUGGACCAGCUCUCACCACAACCUUCUUCUGUGAAGGCCACGAUCCCCGGAGGUAUCUAGUCAGAACUGAAGAGAGGAAGAAAAACUUGUCAAAAUGUCAGCAGCCAAAGCGUGCCACUCCUUCCUAUGUAAAAACCGGACUCUUUUUCUCUCUUACAGGUGUAUUCUAAAUGUUCUACGAUGAGUACCACGAUUUAAAGUUAUAUUACGUAUCAUUGUUAACAAGGGUUUCUCCUAGCAGCACAAGCUCAGCUUACAGGAAGUUUUCAAACAAAAAAAUUAAACCCACCUGUGCAGCAAGCAAACUUAACUUUUCUGGUAUUUUAUCUUCCCCGGGACCGACCUCCUCUUUAUUCCUGAAGUCUACUAGUUAAAUGUGAUUGGCCUUGCAUAAAAGUCACUUCUUUAGGGUGCAGUGUGUGCUGUUUUCUUUUUUUUUUUGGUCUUUCCAAAGACGCGGAAAAGUAAGGAAGUGUAAAACGGUGUCAUGAAUGGAUUUUAUUUUUUCCAUACUUGAGCCUAAUCCGAUUCCUUUUAAUUUCACCUGCAUUUCAUCGUCAACUUGAGGUUGUUGUUGUGCAAAAAAAAAAAAAAAAGUGAUUAAUGAGGAAAAACAAGAAAUAAAACUUGGUAUGAAACCACA